UACAGAGGGGGCAAGCGUUGUCCGGAAUUACUGGGCGUACAGCGCGCGCAGGCGGUGGCCGACGUGCCGUGUGACAAGCGGGGGCUCAACCCCCGAGGGCCACGGUAAACGGGGUGACUGGAGUACGAGAGAGGUGAGUGGAAUUCCCAGUGUAGAGGUGAAAUUCGUAGAUAUUGGGAAGAACACCGGUGGCGAAGGCGGCUCACUGGCUCGUAACUGACGCUCAUGCACGACAGCGUGGGGAUCAAACAGG
rnacentral:rRNA from 1 species